UGGGGAAUAUUGGGCAAUGGGCGAAAGCCUGACCCAGCAACGCCGCGUGAGGGAAGAAGGGUUUCGGCUCGUAAACCUCUGUCCUAUGGGACGAGGGAAGUGACGGUACCAUAGGAGGAAGCCCCGGCUAACUACGUGCCAGCAGCCGCGGUAAUACGUAGGGGGCGAGCGUUGUCCGGAAUGAUUGGGCGUAAAGGGCGCGUAGGCGGCCUGUUAAGUCUGGAGUGAAAGUCCUGCUUUCAAGGUGGGAAUUGCUUUGGAUACUGAUGGGCUGGAGUGCAGGAGAGGAAAGCGGAAUUACCGGUGUAGCGGUGAAAUGCGUAGAGAUCGGUAGGAACACCAGUGGCGAAGGCGGCUUUCUGGACUGAAACUGACGCUGAGGCGCGAAAGCGUGGGGAGCAAACAGGAUUAGAUACCC
rnacentral:rRNA from 1 species